UGCAGUUACCUGCUGCACAUACGUUGGAUUAAAAAGCACAAUUGAUUUUCUUCUCGUGCCAAACAUUCAACCACUUUACCUUAAACAGCAUUCUUCUGGGAGCUGCCUCUAGCCUCCAUGGCCAUUAAAUGAUCUCAGGCCUCAAAUGCACUCAUCAUUUACAAUUCAAACAUUCCACAUGAAUGUAUACCAUGGGCAUGUUUAAUACCAAAAGUAUCAGCUCAUUCCUUUCCUUAUAAUUCCAAAGAGCUUCCAGAAUCCCACAGCAUGGAAAAUUGCUUGUUACUUGUGUAUGACUGGAGGCUUUGUGUGGGAUUUUCACACAGGCAAUUUUUGUUUACCAGCAAGGUACAAUGAGAUAGGAGAGUAUUAGGUUAUCAAACUGACGUCAAUCAGUUCCCUGGGUAUAUAUUCUGCCCUUUUUACAUCCUUUGACUAGAAAAUCCACAUCAAGGUAAACACUGGAAAUCUUUUAAAUACUCGUUGGUUUGGAGCACUGGCGUUGAAGCAUGCAACUUCCACCAUUUAAAACAAUCCAAGCCAGAUCUCAUCACGUAAACCAUGAUUGCACAAAGUACUGAUGCAGGGUGUUGAUCCAAAACGUUAACAAUUCCUUCUCCCCAGCCCUACGGAUGCUACCCUACCCACUCAGUUCCUCCAGUAGAUUGCAUAUUGCUCCAGAUUCCAGUGUCUGCAGUCUCUUGUGCCGACACAAAGUACAAACUGCACGGCAAACUCAGCCCUCACACAGCAGAUGCUGCCUGACCUGCUGAAUUUUUCCAUUCGUUUUUACUUUGAUCUGCCACACGUUGCUCGAGAUGAGGAAGCAGAGUGUUUGCUUUACCAUCUGAAGAGGAAUUGGAUAAAUAUUCAAGAGGACAAACCACACAGGCUCUUCUCCAUUUAAAUGAAGAGUUGCCUAACAUGUGGCAGGUCUCACCAGGCCUGCCAGCAUAACGCUGGGAAAUUGGAGAAUGCUGUCACUUUGCUACUGGAUUCUGCACGUCACCCAACAGCAGGUAACUAUCAGGCAUCGGCAGCAAAUGGCUGUCAGAAAGUUGCAGACUUGUGUUCACAUCCCAAACUUGGUGGCAGGUGGAGGUUGGACUUUUCAGCCAAGA